rnacentral:pre_miRNA from 1 species
UAUAUACUCCAUCCGUCCGAAAAUACUUGUCAUCAAAAUGGACAAAAAAAAUGUAUCUAGAACUAAAAUACAUCUAGAUACAUCCUUUUUUAUUCAUUUUAAUGACAAGUAUUUCCGAACGAAGGGAGUAUUUU